UCAUGGAUAACUGAGGGCUGCGACCCGUGUUCAGUGCGAUGCCUGACAAACAUCUACUUGCGUUUCAGGUAUGUUCCGUGUUAGUGCUUAUUGUUUGUACUGUCUUGUUAAUAUUCCCCAUCUUCAAAGUGCUUGAGCACGCGCAUUCUGGGUGUUUUAUGUAGAAGCUAAGCACAUUUAAAUAUUUGUGAAAUGACAGAAGCUACAAUAAAAUUUAAACUGGCUGAGUUCAGCAGUUCUUAUCACUUACUGUGUGCCAUCAUUGUAGAAUGGAUAGAGGUUAAGAACUAGUCAUGAUAGGUGGCGGUUUAGCCUUUAGAUUUCUCAUAAAGAUCAAUUACACCAUCAUUAUUGGUUUAUUAUAUAACAUAUGAUUCAUAUGAAGACUACAAGCGUAUCUCAACUGCAAAUGGACAUGACUAAAUCAAGGCCAGAUCAGUUAAAAGAAGGGUAGAAUGAUUAAACAGGUCUGCGCAUUAUAUCUCUGGUAAAAUUAACACUACAGUCAGUACUAGAAAAAUAUAAUAUGUUUGCAAAUUAUAGAGUGCAGAGUCACUAGAAACUGCCUUCUGUAAUUAUAUUUCAUCAGGCCAGUUCAACUAAGAGCCUGUUCGGCAGACCUCCACUCCGCAGCUCCGCUCCUGGAGCGGCUGGAGUAGCUGCGGAGUGACACCGAACACGUUGGCUCCAUGCUCUCCCGGAGUGGAGCGGAGCGGAGCGGCUUGUAGGCCAAUGUUUCGGAGUAGCAAAAGUGCUGCUCCGCGCGCUCCGCAUCUGGAUGGAGCAGGGAGUUGAAAAGUGGGGAGUGGAGGCCUGCCGAACAGGCUCUAAGUGCCAGUUCUUAAUUUCCUUCUUCAAGGAUCCCUUUAUACCAUAUUUGUCAAUUCCUUUCCAUCGAAUUAGGUGAAGUCCUCUGAAUUCAAGAUAUGAUGUUUGAUGAGUGAUUAUGUUGGCCAACUAAGAGAUGAACUUUAAUUUUUAUCAAGCUGUAGGGGACAGGAGGGCCACGCUGAGUUAUAUUGAACAAAGAAACAAUAGUUUAUUUACACCAAUGAAACAGACGAAGAUAGGCAAGUAAUGCUGCCUGCCAGUGAGCUGAAUGCUAGCAAUUGCCACAGAAGGCCAUAAAAGCUCGAAACCAAAGCUCCACACUAGCAAAUUUUAUUUGUCAAAUUUGUUAUUUGACAAUAUCUCAAUACUACAUAGUCAUACACAAAUGGCUGGCAAUUCUAAGACUAGAAAGUAUACCAUUUUACCUUGAUUAUACAAAAAUACAAAAUACUCAAUAAUUUAUAGAUAUCUGUGUUGUAUAUCAUAUGAAAAGUACACGUGGACAAUAAACUGAAUAUGUUGAAAUACACAUAGCACUUGCAGUUCAAUAAAUUACAAACCAGAUAAAGGAUCACGUCACACCUAAGCUUUCUUCAUCAUUGCGAUUGUUCAUGCAGAAUUUCCUUUGGCACACUGCCCUUCUUGCUGAAGAAUGACACUGCCGCGUAGGCUGCAAUAUAGGCCAGCACAGGAACGACCAGAGCAAUGACAUUCCUGGACAUCUCCCACUCCCUGGUACUGCCUGCUGCGUAGGCUCCAAGGAGGCCUAGCAUGUCUAGCAAAAUGGCAGUAUGCAUUGGCCACAGUGGGAACUUGUGCUUGUUCACGGGAAGUAGCAAGACAAUGACGACAAUAGAAGCCAUAAACGAAGUGGAGUUGCUAUAGAAGAACGCACGGUACCGGCCUUUGGCGAUGUCACGGAGGAUUGAGUCGCCUGCAAUAUGUCCAUUGUUGUUGUCCUGCCAGAGGCCACCUGGUGGUUUCAAACCAGACUGGUAUGUUACACUCGCAGCCAGGACUCCUAGCAGCAUCAAGUAUUCACGAAGGUCCUUUUCUUCUGUUCCCUUAUCUUCUGUUCCCUUUUCUUCCGUCCCCAUGUCACCAGCAACUGGUUCAGAAGACUCACUGAUGAUUCCUUCUUGCCCAGAUGACCCAUCUACUGGAUCAGGGGGGGUAGGCUUCGCACCACUAACAUGGAAUGGUGAAACUUGACUAGUAGCUGCAGCAGGGGUUGGCACCCCCAUGACAUUUAAGUCCAAGUCUUCCUCUUUAGGCGAGUCUUCCUCUUUAGGCUGCCCUUUCCUCCAGUUUCGUAUCCAGAAAAUGAGCACCUGAAAGGUGACGAAGGCGAACACCGCAGCCACUAAAGUUAACACAUAGAUGGAGGUUCGUACAUGUCGGGAGCUUCCAGCAGCAUAUGCACCCAUGAGGCCAAACAUGCCCAUCACCAUGCACACAUAGAGUGCAUAACACCGUAUGCCCGGCUUGUAUAGGGUGGGGUUCACAAGAAGAACUAUGAGAGUUACAGAUGCCAUGAAGCUUGCUGCAUUGCAGUAGAAGAAUGCAUUGUAACGACGAGGAUAGUUAUCAAGGAGGACUGGAAAUCCAGCAUGAUGACCAAACUUGUCAUCUGCCGACCAGAAGCCACCUGGUGGGGUCAGCCCAGCUUGGUAAGUGAGUGUUGCAGCCAAGAUUGCAAGCAGCAGCAACAUCUCGCGCCUAUUAUCCAACUUAUCGGGAUCUUGGUUUUUGUCCAUGUGCUCUUCUAAUGUGAAGAAUACUAUGUGAAUCACCACAUACACAAGGACAACACCUGCCAAGGCGACAACAUAGAUGGAGGUGCUUGAAUCCCUAUUGCUCCCUGCAGCGUAUGCAAUUAUGAGGCCAAACAAAUCCAGUAGCAUGGCUGCGUGCAAUGUAUGGCGCUGAAGUAGAAAUCUACUUUGAACCAUUAUGAUGACGACUAGGGAUGUCACAAAGGCGGCUGAGUUGCUAUAGAAGAACACCUUGUACCGAGUAGGAUGAGUUGUGAGGAGUACUGGGUCACCACCCUUAUGCUCUUCCUGGUCAUCUGGCCAUAGGCCGCCCGGUGGAUCUAGUCCUGCCUGGUAAGUGAUGCUCACCACAAGAGUAGCAAGCAACAUGACAAGAGAGCGAUUCUUUUCCAAUACUUUGUCAGAUCCUCUGUCCCUGGUAGUUGCAUAGAUAUACAGAGUUAAAAUUUCAUCCUGGUAUUGGAUUAUAUGGACCAAUGGUAAUUUCAAAGGAAGAAUAAUACGUGAUUGCAUACCUGCUAGUGCUAAAAGCUGUAUGAAACCAGUCUUUUAUUUGCUUCAGCCAUUCUGAAGUACAAUCACGUAUGGAUGUGAGUACUUUAUGGUCCCAACUAUCCUUCUUGUCCAUGAGAGCCCGAGCCACAGUGUCUGGGACACGAUCCUUCUUGUUCGUCUUGUUCAUGGCUUCAGUGAUGGCCAUCUGUAGAAAUAUGUAUGCAAGAACCGCACCAGCCAGAAAAACGACAUAGAUGGUAUUAUCAGCUUCCCUGCAGCUUCCUGCAGCAUAGGCCCCCACAAGGCCAAUGAGCGCCACCGCGAUGAACCCAUACAGUGCAACAAACCUUUUAGAGAUUCUCUGGCUCAGCUUCUUGUCCAGGAGCAGCACAAUGAUGAGCAAGGACGCAACAAAUGCAGUGCUAUUGCACACGAAGAAUGCCUGAUACCGGCUGGAGUUGUGGUCCUGCAUAAUUGGGUUGCUCACACGGUGGCCGUCCUGGCUGUUGCCCCAGAAUCCACCAGGUGGGCCCAGUCCAGCCACGUAUGUGAUGGUAACUGCAAAGGUUGCUAGUAGCAUCAAUACCUCGUGCUCCUCUUCGCGCUUGUUUACAUCAGGAUCCUUGUCUUGCUUCUCAGGGUCCUUAUCUUGCUUCUCAGGAUCCUUGUCUUGCUUCUCAGAAGCCUUGCCUUCUGUACUCUCGGGGAACGCCCACCGGAAGGCAUAGGUUACAAAGACAUAUAUGAUGUAGGCGAAGACGCAAGACACUAGCACUGAGGAGUAGAUGGUUGUAAAAUCAUCCCGGCAGCUUCCAGCAGCAUAGGCCCCCAUGAGGCCAAGUAAAUCGAGCACCAUGACCGCCCGCAGCACAGUUGCCCAGACACUGUUGUCCUUCGCCUCAUCAAGAACAAGGAGAAGGAGGCAGGCCACAAGUGACGCCGCGAAUGCAGUCGCGUUGCAGUAGUAGAACGCAAGGUACCGGUGGUAGUGCGUGUCCGGAAGGAUCGGGUCGCCUGCGAAGUGUCCAUCCUGUGUGUUCUGCCAGACCCCCCCUGGCAGGUUGAGCCCGGCUGCAUACGUCACAGUCGCAACCAGAGUGGCCAGCAGUAGAAGCUGUGUCUUCAGCUGGUACUCUGUUGAAGGCUUGUUGCUGCCGGACGGGUUGUCCGGACUUUGCUUCUCUGGCUGCUUUGGAUUGUGGGAUGCUACUUGGUUGUUGGACGCCAUUUGGCUAAUUGGUGGUGGAACUGGAACACGAAGAAGACGCCUUGAGGUGGCGAUGUGAAGUUGUGGUCUGUAAAGCUCUUAGUUAUAUAGCCAUGUGGGUCUGUAUGGCAUCCCCAUGCUUUGGCUUGGCAUGAUGUUUCCCCGGAAUCUGCCUGUCUGCUAAUCAUGCCAUGACUACAUCGAGUCGUCUUGUUUAAAUAGUUGUUCCCUUGUCUUCCCAUUCUUGUAUGACAACUUAACGGGCAUCAGUGAACAAUCUUUUCAGCUGUGCACACAUGGGAUCUACAUACUUUUUGGCACUCUUCAUCAGUUGAGGUCUUGAGGACUUGAAGAAGUCAGUAUUCACAUUCAGCAUCUUAAUUGAUCAUCCUACAGCUUAUUCCCAUUCCAGUAACUUCUUCCCCUGCAUAUACUGUGAUUUAUAAAUUUUUUCUGCAAAGUUUUAUCUGAACAGGUGUAAAAACGCCUUGAAAUAUGACUAUGUAUCAUCAAAUUGUCCCAGAGUUUAUGGGGGAUAGUUAGACUACACGGGUAUACUCAUGCUGAAUGGUGCGAUGAAUGAACAGUACAAUGCUUAGUUUGUUUUGUGUGAACAAAUUAGACUUGGUAGGAACCUUCAUAGUCUUCUCUCUGACCAGGCAAGCUUCAAUCAUUCAAAUCAACUGCAGUAUGAUAUUCCAUGGUUACAUAAGGAGACUAUAUUCUUUCUAUUAUAACUUGCGUUGCAUGAGGCCAGUGCAACAUGUCAGGAUGCUGAUGAAUGAAAUAUGUUAUGCAGGAGGCUGUUGGCGUAAUGCUUGGCACAGGCUGGCAUUUCGGGAGCGACUGUGAGGGAAAACUCACCAUGUUUGGAAGCGAUGCUGCCAGGAUGACACUGCAGUUCCAUCUCUGCCGUAAAUAAGGUCACUGGUGUGAACCCACCUGCAGAAACUCCCUCCCACACCCUUGGAGCAGAAUGGCUGCAACUGCCACAUAAGGCCAUGAAGCACCGUGCGGUAUCAUAGAGACCAAUGAAGAAGCUCGAUAGCUUGGAAUAAGCAAAUUGCACUGCUUCACUAUCUGUUAACUGUGGCAUGAAUCCAUCAAUUAGUUUUGUUUAGAGGUUUAUCCCAUUAUCUCUCCCAGGCUUGUAUGCAACCGAACAAGCAUUUGUCAGUUGUGGACUGGAAGUAGUGAAUUUUCACACGCCAGGUUUCAGCUGACCAUGCUGCAGUUUAUUUACAUCCAGGUAACUUUUCUUUCCUGCAUAUACUCGCAUACUUGUUUCAUUCUGAGAGAGUUUAUUGGAGCAAAUGUAAAACUGCCUUAAAAUAUUACUUUGUAUCACCAUUAGCCUAAUCACCGAACUGAUGAUGAAUAGUCAAUAGUCAUUAGUCUUGUCAUGCCAUAUGCAGAGUGCGGUUGCGUGUACAGGUCAAUGCUUUGUUUAUGUGACCAAGACAAGACUUGCCUACAUUUCGUUGAGCUCUGGGAGUGGGAGAUGCUCAUUCCAUGCAGCUUCCUUGCAUUAGCUGUAUGCCAAUACAUAAACAUCACCUAUACCCAAGUUGGAGUUAGAAAUGUAGGCAUGCUUAUCUUCUCUAUGACUAACGAGCUUCAAUCAUUCAUAUCAACUGCCGUAUAUGAUUCCAUAAUUACAUAAGGAGACUAAGCUAGUUCUUUGUAUAGUGAUUUAGUUGCCUUGCCAGAGGACAGUGCAACAUGUCAUGAUGCUGACGACUGAAAUAUAUUGUAUAGGAGGCUGUUGGCGUAAAGCUUGGCAUAGGCUGGCAUUUGAGACAGAACGCAUCUGGGGACUGACUUGGUUUGUGUUUAACGAACUGCCCGGAUGGACUGCACAUGUGGUUCUCCGUGAAGUGCCUCUUGGAGGCUAUAUGCUUUAUGGAGUCUUGUGCAAGAUCAAUCAUUCUGGAUCUGCAGAUCGUAAUCCCAUGGCUUGCUGGUCUAUCCUAUGGUGGAUUGUGCACAGCUGCAUUUCAGUAGAAUACCCGAGGUACAUGUUGCGACGCCUGGUACUUGUCUGGCCUUAGAGGGUUCUCAAGUCAUUCUGUCCAUCAUGGUUCAUCAUGCUGCUUGAACAUGUUAUAUUUAUUGUGACGUUGGGUUUUCUUAAAUAUUUACCAAGAAAAUUCCAACGAAA
rnacentral:lncRNA from 1 species